CCCAAGAAAGGAAAGGAGAUAGAGACCAAGCGGGGGUAGCGGGCGGCGGACGGAGCGGCGACGCCGGCGAGCCGCCUUCAGCCUUGGUGUUUGAUCCGAUUCUGGAGCGCGGCUGAAACCGGCGAGGCAGCCGCAGCGGACGCGAGAUCUCGGGAAGGGUCAUCGACGCUAAGCAGCGGUAUUUUUGUGUCGUCUGGAGCACAGACAAGAUGGUUAAUGCAAUCAAGGGGUUGUUCAUCUCCUGUGAUAUACCUAUGGCGCAGUUCAUCAUUAAUCUGAAUGCCUCAAUGCCACCAUCGGAGAGGUUCAUCGUGCACAUGCUUGAUCCUACACACAUGUUUGUUCAGCCUCAUGUGGCAGAAAUGAUCAGAAGUAAGAUAGGGGAGUUCAGGGACCAGAACAGCUACGAGAAGCCUCAGUGAAGGAUCAUUCCACCUCUUCCCUCCCCCCAAAAGUCCAAAGAUGUGUACCUUGUGCUCAUAAUAUGCCGAACUCCUAUAUGGGUGAUUGGAUGGCGUUGCCAUGCCUCACCCAUGAUGAUCUAGAAUAAUAAUAUAUAUUUGUGUUUUAGUCUAAAAAAUCUGGUGUAUUUCAGUGACUUUCUUUGUACCCGGAUUGAGCCUUUUACUUGGGUCCCUGCCACUUUGUGGCGCUGAUAAACUUUGGUUGCCUACAUUAUGUAUUGCUGUUGUGAACUCAA